rnacentral:rRNA from 1 species
UACGUAGGGGGCGAGCGUUGCCCGGAUUUAUUGGGCGUAAAGGGCGCGCAGGCGGCUCGGCGCGUCGCGGGUGAAAUCGUUCGGCUCAACCGGACGGGGUCCCGCGAAACGGUCGAGCUGGAGCAAGGCAGGGGGUCGUGGAAUUCCCGGUGUAGUGGUGGAAUGCGUAGAGAUCGGGAGGAACACCAGUGGCGAAGGCGGCGACCUGGGCCUGUGCUGACGCUGAGGCGCGAAAGCGUGGGGAGCGAUC